CGCUAGUACAAAGGUAGUGAGAUUUCUCAAUUGAGCAUAUCAGUUACAGGUUGACCUCCUUGCCUACCCUCACCCUCCACCCCCCGCUGCUGCACUUGACUUUGCCCUACAUCCCCCACUGCUGCACUUGACUUGUCUUAU
rnacentral:sRNA from 1 species